CGGAGCGAAUCCCCAAAAGGCGUCUCAGUUCGGAUUGCAGGCUGCAACUCGCCUGUAUGAAGUCGGAAUUGCUAGUAAUCGUGGAUCAGCAUGCCACGGUGAAUACGUUCCCGGGCCUUGUACACACCGCCCGUCACACCAUGAGAGCCGGGAACACCCGAAGUCCGUAGUCUAACCUAUAUGGAGGGCGCGGCCGAAGGUGGGUUUGGUAAUUGGGGUGAAGUCGUAACAAGGUAGC
rnacentral:rRNA from 1 species